rnacentral:rRNA from 1 species
AGAGUUUGAUCCUGGCUCAGAUUGAACGCUGGCGGCAGGCCUAACACAUGCAAGUCGAGCGGAUGAAGGGAGCUUGCUCCUGGAUUUAGCGGCGGACGGGUGAGUAAUGCCUAGGAAUCUGCCUGGUAGUGGGGGACAACUCCGGGAAACCCGAGCUAAUACCGCAUACGUCCUACGGGAGAAAGUGGGGGAUCUUCGGACCUCACGCUAUCAGAUGAGCCUAGGUCGGAUUAGCUUGUUGGUGAGGUAACGGCUCACCAAGGCUGCGAUCCGUAACUGGUCUGAGAGGAUGAUCAGUCACACUGGAACUGAGACACGGUCCAGACUCCUACGGGAGGCAGCAGUGGGGAAUAUUGGACAAUGGGCGCAAGCCUGAUCCAGCCAUGCCGCGUGCGUGAAGAAGGCCUUCGGGUUGUAAAGCACUUUUGUCCGGAAAGAAAAGCUUAGGGUUAAUAACCCUGAGUCAUGACGGUACCGGAAGAAUAAGCACCGGCUAACUUCGUGCCAGCAGCCGCGGUAAUACGAAGGGUGCAAGCGUUACUCGGAAUUACUGGGCGUAAAGCGUGCGUAGGUGGUUUGUUAAGUCUGAUGUGAAAGCCCUGGGCUCAACCUGGGAAUGGCAUUGGAAACUGGCUUACUAGAGUGCGGUAGAGGGUAGCGGAAUUCCCGGUGUAGCAGUGAAAUGCGUAGAUAUCGGGAGGAACAUCCGUGGCGAAGGCGGCUACCUGGACCAGCACUGACACUGAGGCACGAAAGCGUGGGGAGCAAACAGGAUUAGAUACCCUGGUAGUCCACGCCCUAAACGAUGCGAACUGGAUGUUGGGGGCAACUUGGCCCUCAGUAUCGAAGCUAACGCGUUAAGUUCGCCGCCUGGGAAGUACGGUCGCAAGACUGAAACUCAAAGGAAUUGACGGGGGC